AUUGAGUUUAAUAUUCAUAAAUCGCGGUGUAGCUCAGCUGGCUAGAGCGUCCGGUUCAUACCCGGGAGGUCGAG
rnacentral:tRNA from 1 species